UGCAUCGGCCGGGAAUCGAACCCGGGCCGCCCGCGUGGCAGGCGAGUAUUCUACCACUAAGCCACCGAUGC
rnacentral:tRNA from 1 species